rnacentral:rRNA from 1 species
UGCCUAACACAUGCAAGUCGAACGGCAGCACGGUGUGUAGAAAUACAUAUGGGUGGCGAGUGGCGGACGGGUGAGUAAUACGUAGGGAUCUGCCUUUUGGACGGGGACAACUUGGGGAAACUCGAGCUAAUACCCGGUAAGCUCUAAGGAGGAAAGGAUGGGACUACAGAUAGCCAUUCACCAAGAGAUGAACCUACGUCGGAUUAGCUAGUUGGUGGGGUAAAGGCCUACCA